UAGCUGCAGGGAGAAUAUUUAGUAGUUAUCAAUUCAUCUUUUUACAAAACUAACCUUGAGGUAUCAAAUUAAACAAUAUUCCUUUCAAACAACUGAAUGUUGCAUAGACUCUCCAAAAAUCUGAUAACUGAGCAAUAAAAUUAAAUUGGGAACAUGUUGGUCAAGCAUUUUCCUUUUAGUGCACUAUAGUGCAUUUCCGAAGGUCCUCAUUAAAAAGCUUCCAUUGCAUAGUACUUAUCCACAUUCUCUUUCUAUUCAAUGCUAGUUCUUAUUAGCACUUGUUCUUCCCCUUUCUCUACCUCUGUUUAAGCAAUAUAUACAAGGAACUUUCACUUUUUUAUAGUCAGCUAUUGUGCAGAUUCAUGGAGGAUCAUAACACUGCAACCUUCCCUUCUAAAAAAUAUUAUAAACUUGACGCCUAUUACAGACGUAAAAUGGAAAAGGAAAGCAGAAGAGGUGUCAAGAAGGUCGUGGACGAUGAACGUACUGUCUUCGAUGAUGAAGAACAGUGCAAGUAAGUUAUGGACACAGUUGCCAUUUCAUUGUAAAAAAUUGUUUUUUGGUUGAGUAGUAUGAAGUCAGCUAAGGGCAUGGCACAAAUUCAAAUACGGUUAGAGAACCAAGUUUGGACUUUUGGUAUUUAAGUCUAGAAGGAUACACCUAUUAUCCACUGAAUUUUAAGUUUCGAAGCUGGAACAUUGGAUUUCUUAUUUAAAGGAAAUUACUUUGAAGUUCCAAAUUUCUAAUGUGAUCUCGUACUCUUUGGAACUAUUUGAACAGAGCCGAGAAGUGCUGGUGAAAUAAUCAUUUUUGCAUAAUAAGCUAAUUUCCUUUGCAUAAUGAACAAUAUCAUAUGUUAAGUAGACAGAUUAUUGAUAUACAAGGAAAACAAAGUUUAAUUUACCUCUUUAAAUCAUAUUAGUUCAAAACUAGCAUAAAUUUUGAUAAACAUACAUACAUAUAUAUACAACCAGCUACCUAUUGUAAGAGUCAGGUGAAUUUUUAUAUUUUUGUUAUUACAAUAUUUUCCAUCUCAAAACAGGAUGUUAAACAUUAAAUCUUUAAACAAGAAACGAAAUUAAAAUAUGAGCAAAUGAAAUAAAAUAACUAAGGAUUAACACAGGGAUCAAUACAUGUAAUAAUACAUGUAAUGUUAACCUGAGAAGUUGUACCACUCACUAAUGAGGGAAUGAGAUGAUACCAAGUUUAUGGUACAGUUCUAAAUAUUCAAAGAAUUUUAAAGGAGUAAACAAAAUCCAAAUUUUCUUAACAAGGUAAACGAAGUAUGAUUUUUUUUAGUUUAGACAUUUUUUCAAACAUCUGGUGAACGUCAGAAAUCUUUCAACAAAAAAAAGCCACAUAUGCAUACUCCAUUCAAUCUUGCUACAAAUGAAAAAAAUAAAUAGAAGAAUGAACAUACCAAUUAAGUGUCUAGCAAUUGAAUAUGUUGGAACAAGUGAUUGUGCUCUUAAGCUCUUAGUGUGGUAGGUCAUUGAAGUAAUUGACUGCUAACUUGCACAAGUUGUGAUGAUGUGCUUGUCUAAGUGUGGGACAUACACAUAGAGCAGGUUCAAUUUCAGCAUAUUACUGGUUGUGCUAUCCUCUGAAGAAGUAGGAUUAAUCGAAAAGAUGUAUCUUAUGCUCUUGUUUAUCAAUCUCAUGAAGCACAUCUAGGCCCUGCCAGCCACUCAUACCUCCAAGGAAAUAAUUAAUAGCAAACUGAAGUUAUAUUCCGAAUUAAAUUGAUCACUGGUGUUAAGAGGACAAUAAGAAAAGAAAAAAGUUUUAUUGGAUCAGUCUUAAUCCCUAGACAUGGAGGGACCAUAAGGAUCGAAAGUUCUCUGUCAAACAGAAUAUACUACUCUUGAAUCCACAAACUGUAUAGCCAUAAAAUCACGAUCUAACAAACCUCAAGCUUUGAAAGAAGACUCUAGAAGUUUGAUCGAAAAGAAAUUUCUUUCAAGAAAUUCACCACACACUUGUGGGCUGUGGCUCAAAUAGUUUUACCUAAAAA